GUGGGGAAUUUUGGACAAUGGGCGCAAGCCUGAUCCAGCAAUGCCGCGUGCAGGAAGAAGGCCUUCGGGUUGUAAACUGCUUUUGUACGGAACGAAACGGUCCGGGUUAAUACCCUGGGCUAAUGACGGUACCGUAAGAAUAAGCACCGGCUAACUACGUGCCAGCAGCCGCGGUAAUACGUAGGGUGCAAGCGUUAAUCGGAAUUACUGGGCGUAAAGCGUGCGCAGGCGGUUUUGUAAGACAGGCGUGAAAUCCCCGGGCUCAACCUGGGAAUUGCGCUUGUGACUGCAAGGCUGGAGUGCGGCAGAGGGGGAUGGAAUUCCGCGUGUAGCAGUGAAAUGCGUAGAUAUGCGGAGGAACACCGAUGGCGAAGGCAAUCCCCUGGGCCUGCACUGACGCUCAUGCACGAAAGCGUGGGGAUCAAACAGGAUUAGAAACCCGGGUAGUCC
rnacentral:rRNA from 1 species